rnacentral:rRNA from 1 species
UACAGAGGUCUCAAGCAUUGUUCGGAUUCAUUGGGCGUAAAGGGUGUGUAGGUGGCGCCGUAAGUCGGGUGUGAAAUUUCGGAGCUUAACUCCGAAACUGCAUUCGAUACUGCGGUGCUUGAGGACUGGAGAGGAGACUGGAAUUCAUGGUGUAGCAGUGAAAUGCGUAGAGAUCAUGAGGAAGACCAGUGGCGAAGGCGGGUCUCUGGACAGUUCCUGACACUGAGACACGAAGGCCAGGGGAGCAAACGGG